rnacentral:rRNA from 1 species
GUGGGGAAUAUUGGACAAUGGGCGAAAGCCUGAUCCAGCCAUGCCGCGUGUGUGAAGAAGGUCUUCGGAUUGUAAAGCACUUUAAGUUGGGAGGAAGGGCAGUAAGUUAAUACCUUGCUGUUUUGACGUUACCGACAGAAUAAGCACCGGCUAACUUCGUGCCAGCAGCCGCGGUAAUACGAAGGGUGCAAGCGUUAAUCGGAAUUACUGGGCGUAAAGCGCGCGUAGGUGGUUUUGUAAGUUGGAGGUGAAAUACCCGGGCUCAACCUGGGAACUGCCUCCAAAACUGCAUGACUAGAGUACGGUAGAGGGUAGUGGAAUUUCCUGUGUAGCGGUGAAAUGCGUAGAUAUAGGAAGGAACACCAGUGGCGAAGGCGACUACCUGGACUGAUACUGACACUGAGGUGCGAAAGCGUGGGGAGCAAACAGGAUUAGAUACCCCGGUAGUCC